rnacentral:misc_RNA from 1 species
GAUGAAGAACGUAGCGAAAUGCGAUACGUAGUGUGAAUUGCAGAAUUCAGUGAAUCAUCGAAUCUUUGAACGCACAUUGCGCCCUUUGGUAUUCCAAAGGGCAUGCCUGUUCGAGCGUCAUUUGUACCCUCAAGCUUUGCUUGGUGUUGGGCGUCUUGUCUCCAGUCCGCUGGAGACUCGCCUUAAAGUCAUUGGCAGCCGGCCUACUGGUUUCGGAGCGCAGCACAAGUCGCUCUCUUUUCCAGCCAAGGUCAGCGUCCAACAAGCCUUUUUUCAACUUUUGACCUCGGAUCAGGUAGGGAUACCCGCUGAACUUAAGCAUAUCAAUAAGCGGAGGA